UGGUGGAGUGAUUUGUCUGGUUAAUUCCGAUAACGAACGAGACUCUGUCCUGCUAACUAGGUUGUGUUUUCUCGGGUUGGUGUUUCUGGUGUUCCUUCUCGGGGCGCCGGCCCAAUCCACUUGUGAACACAACACUCUUCUUAGAGGGACUGGCGGCUGUUAGCCGCGCGAGAUAGAGCAAUAACA
rnacentral:rRNA from 1 species